rnacentral:rRNA from 1 species
CAGCAGUAGGGAAUCUUCCGCAAUGGACGCAAGUCUGACGGAGCAACGCCGCGUGAGUGAUGAAGGUUUUCGGAUCGUAAAGCUCUGUUGCCAGGGAAGAACGUCCGGGUUAGUAACUGAACCCGGAGUGACGGUACCUGAGAAGAAAGCCCCGGCUAACUACGUGCCAGCAGCCGCGGUAAUACGUAGGGGGCAAGCGUUGUCCGGAAUUAUUGGGCGUAAAGCGCGCGCAGGCGGCUUUUUAAGUCCGGUGUCACAGCCCAAGGCUCAACCUUGGGUCGCACUGGAAACUGGAGAGCUUGAGUACAGAAGAGGAAAGUGGAAUUCCACGUGUAGCGGUGAAAUGCGUAGAGAUGUGGAGGAACACCAGUGGCGAAGGCGACUUUCUGGGCUGUAACUGACGCUGAGGCGCGAAAGCGUGGGGAGCAAACAGGAUUAGA